GUUUAUAGACGCUUGGUUUUAGACACUUGAACAACCGUCUAAAAAAAACGGAGAUUUUCAACACUUUAUUUUCAACGCUUAAAUAGGUUGAAAUUUAACAAAGAAAAAGCGUCCAAAAAAUAAAAAAAAUAAAGACCGAAACUGGCUUUUAAAAUUUUUUAAAAAAUUGUAUCAAAACGCGUGUCUGGAAAUUUCAGACAAACUAAACUCGCCUCUCUUCAAUUCCUCAUAUCAGUCAAGAACAAGGGGGAGAAGGAGAAAUUCUAUUCUUCAAUUCGCCUCCCACGCGCAGCAAUCUUCAUCAUCCUCAAAUCAGAUUUUCAUUAGGUAAGUUUUCGUUCUUCCUCAUCCGACAGCACGCCGGACUUCCAGUCUUUAUCCGGCAGAAGUAUUGAGCGUUUCCUCCGACAACCGUACCACCCCGUACCAGUCCUCUUCAUUCUCUCAAUUGCACUAUCAGGUACUCUCAAGUGUACCAGUCUUCUUCACGUCCUUUGUAAUGUCGUUUUCUUUGAAUAAAUUAUCCCUCCAUUUUUAAAAUUUCUUUGUUACAUCCUCUCAUUUUCUGUUUUUUAUAUGUGCUUUAUACUUUGAUUUUGAUUUUGAUUAAUUAGUGAGAGUUUUUGUGUGGAAGGGUUGAGAUUGUCAUUAGGAGAUUGAAAAUAGGGGGUCCAUUUGACAUACUUUUGAUUUUGAUUUUGAUUAGUGAGAGUAUUUGUGGUGGCAUUGUUGAUUAAUUUAUUUCUCGGCGGCUUUGGGGAAAUUUGAUGAAGAUCCCAAACCCUUAUCUAUUUCUUGGAAUCAUUGAAGUAAUGUGCAUUGUUUAUCCUUUGUUUUUAUUUUAUAUUUUGACCAUGGAUUAGAAGACUUUAUUAUUGAACAAGCUAUUGUAAAUAAUUUUGCGUGGAAUAAAAAUAUAUUGAAGGACAUUGGCUUUAAUGAACGACACUAUGUUUUUGUUAUAUAUGUCAUUCAAAUAUAAAUGUAAGAUAAUACAUACAAAAGAAAAAUGUGAAUGGGUUGUUAGAUUUUGAUGGUUUUAAUAUGUCAUUGUUAUCUUCUUGAUUAAGAAAGGGUAGGCGUAACAUUCAAAUACCAUGGAAACACAGAAAUCAGAAUGAAAGAAUUGCAAAUCUCAAUAAACAGAAUGACAUUAAUAAAACUAGUUAUUGUUACUUGUUGUAUGCAUAUGAAAUUUUUUAAUCUUAUUAUUAUACAAUAUGUAUAGGAUGUCUCAAUAUAUUGAUAAGAGUUGGAUAAAUAAACCAAGAAAUAUAUUAUACAGAAGCUUAUAUAAAGGGGGUUAGUGACUUUAUGGAAUUUGCAAAGAAAGGAACACAAAAUGGUUUCAUUAGAUGCCCUUGUUGCAAGUGUCAAAUUGAUAGAAAGAAAGUAUUACCACUAGAGGAGGUUGAAAGACACAUUUUGUUUAAAGUGUUUUAUAAAGAAUACAAGGAUUAGAUAUUUCAUGGACCUAUGACUGUUGCCAAGAAUGUGUGUAAUCAAAUAGGGAUUCCAUUUAUAGCUUCCAAUGAAUUAGAAAAUUUAGGUCAAGAUGAUAUAUCGGGGUUACUUCGAGAUGCUUUUGGAUCAAAUAUUUUAAGUGCUCCUGAGUUUGGUAGUGAACUAAAUGAGUAGGGGUUAGCUAAUGAGACUAUAGAGGAACCUAAUUUGCAAUAUGAAUCCGAUGAAUUUCCUUCACAACAACCUGAUAUAAACUCUUUUUUUGAAGAAGUCAAAUUUAACAAGCUUUAUGAAGAUUCUAAUGAACCUCUUUAUGAAGGUUGUACUUCCUUUUCAAAGCUAUCAUUCAUCAUGAACCUUUUUCAUCUUAAGUGCUUGUUCUGGCCAGAUAAAUCAUUCUCAAUGUUGAUUGAUCUUUUACUUGAUACAUUUCCACAAAUAAAAAAUUUUCCUUCCUCAUACUAUCAAGCCAAGAAAUUGAUCAUGGAUUUAGGUUUGGGAUAUGAAAAGAUCCAUGCAUGUCCUAAUGAUUGCACAUUAUAUUGGGGUGAAAUGGCUGGAAAGGAUUCUUACACAUUAUAUUGGGGUAAGAUGGCUGGAAAGUAUUCUUGCCCUAAAUGUCCUAAUGAUUGCACAUUAUGUCUCGAACCUUCAAGACCUCAACUAAUACUCCAGCACAAGAUCCCGCUACUAGCUUGGUACCUGCAGUUACCAAGAAACAUAAUCCCAAAGAGCAACAUGAGCCUUCAAAGAGCAAGGAUGUUGUUGAAGAGACAUGUAAGGGAAAUGAAGAUCCCAAAGAGCAAGAUGAGCCUUCAAAGGAAAUGAAGAUAAAACUUCCUGGGAGAAGAAAACAAGUGUGGAGGCUAGGGGGUAAAGUUCAUUGGAAAGAAAAUAUAGAUGUGGAUCCAGAUGAGGUUGUCCAAGUAGAAGGUAUACAUACUUGAAUGAUCAUAAUAUGCAUAUUUGAUACAAAUUGUGUAUUUAUUAUUCAUUGUUUUUUUUAUUGAGCAGAGAUAACAGAGAAUGAGCCUCCCAAAUUAGGAAUAAUGGAGGAGACUAUAGUUGCUAAGCAUGUUUGGUGCUUACCAUCAGGAAAAAGGAUCAUUGUUCAUUUUAAUGAAUAUGAUCAACCAAUUAGAAGGGGGGGGGACUUGUACUUGUUCUUUUUCUGUCUAAAUUGUCAAAAGAUGGAACCAUUUGUCCACUUGGAGCAUAAAAUUGGAAGCGUGUUGAUGAUCAUUACAAGCAAAGGAUCAUUAAAACGGUUUGGGAUAAAUUUGUGUCACCUGAUAGAAAAGAGUUUUGUCGAAUGAUAUUGUCACAUAUAAAUAUGAAGUGGAAGCAUUACAAGUGGGAGCUUCAAAGGGACUAUUAUCAGCCUAAUGUGACAAAGGAGAAGAUAAUUGAGAAUAUGCCUAAAAAUUUGAUAAAAGAGCAGUGGAUUAGCUUUGUUUCUUACUGGACCUCAGAAAAGUUCAAGGUAUUUGUACAUAGUGUAUUAUAACAAAUUUAACAUAAAUUUAAGUUUUAUAUUCACCAAGUUAGAACCUAAUAAUUUAACAUUGACAAAAAUUAUCAACACUGGGAAAAAGAGCUCGUGAAAUGCAUAAUCAUGUACAUACUACUGGGUCAAAGAGUUAUGAUUAAUGGAAAACUGAAUUUGUAAGUAUGAAUACAAUUAUUGUUAUUGCUUAUAAUGAGACAGUUGCAUUUGCUUGUUUUUGAUGUUGCUAGGUUACUUAAAUUUUAUUUAUGAUGCCUAUAUUUGUGAUAAGUUUAUUUCUUUGGGAUAAUCCAUUACUUUUAAAUAGGUUAAGUUGAAUCACAGAGAACCUAGUGGGCUAGAAAUGUGAAAACGUUCACACACUACAAAGAGUGGUGGUUAUGUAGAGGGUACAACCACUCAAGAAUUCAUGGACAUUGCUGAAAGUAGGGUUAAUGAAUGUUUACGUGUUCAAAACAACCUCGUGAGGUGCUUGAGACAGAAGUUUUUAAUGAGAUGAUGUAUCAACAGGACAAACCUAAUCAGCGUGUUGUUAGUUAUGGUCAUGGGGUUAGUAGAUCUCACGUGUUUGGUAUUGAAGCUCAAUUACGAAACAACAAGAUAGGUGAUUGUGGUGGUACUUCAAGUGAUGUUAUGGGGCUUAAGUCCUACCUAUUGUCUGUUGAGAGAAAAAGUGAUGAGGUUAUGAGAAAAAAUGAUAAGGUUAUGAGAAAAAAUGAUGAGAUUAUUUCCCAAUUACAAAAAAGAAAUGAUGAGGUUACUUCCCAACUUUUGAAAAAAAAAUGAAGAAGUUGAAGAACUAAGAGCUCAAAUAAAAAAAUUCUCACUCAACGUGCAUUAGUCAUCCUAGAUCAAUUACAACAAAUUCAAAGGACAAUUGGAUGAAGUAGAUAUGAUAAUGACUUAUAUAAAGUUUUUUAUAUUCAAGGGAGUUUGGUAAUUAAGAUUUUUGCAGCUGAUGUUCGUAUUAUGACCAACAAAUCAUCUUUUGCGAAGGUCUUGACACUAAAGUGGAAAUUGCAACAUAAAGAAAAUAAUUUUGCACGCCUUCAACUUUUGAAAAACUUUUAACUUUUAAAUUUUGCUCUCUUAAACAUCGAUGAAUAUAUAUGUGUAUGUGAAUAUUGAUCAAAUUAGGCACUCAUGUUGCUUGGACUUUUUUGACCAAGCUACAAAAACUUAAGGUCAAAGCAACAUCGACGAAUGUAUGUGCGUAUAUGAAUAUCUAAUUCUAAUACUUUUUUUGGAUAUG